AAGUAAUGUAUUUAAAUCAAAUAAAUAUUCGUUUUGUGUCGCCAAAUAUGCAAACGCAGUGCUUAGUGUGAAUAUAAUAUAUUAAAGUUAUUUAGUUGUAUUAUUAGUGCAGUCUGAAGUGAAGUGGGUGCUCUGCUCGCAACAAAUGGCGAAUGUGCGUGUGUGAUGUUAAGAAGUUUGUGUUAAUAAUCGCAUUUUGUUUAAUUCAGUGGUGUUCAAGGAAAUGUUUUAUUAUUAGUAAAAUAAAUAUAAAUCAGUUUUUAAGAAAAUAAAAUUCUGCUGUAAAUGUUAAGGAAAGAUAUGUAAUAUAUGCAGUGAAUGAGUUCAGUGAGUGAGGGUUCAUUGGUAUUGAAGAUCGUGUGGCUGCUAAGUCGUGUGCGUCGAUGCAGCGUAAAUAUUGAAACUGCCAUUAUAAGACGCGAUUUAUGUACAUACAUAGUAUGUACUUUGUAUGUACGGUAUGUAUAAAUAGACAUAAAUGUGAUUUGCAGAACAAGGAAAG